rnacentral:rRNA from 1 species
ACGAACGCUGGCGGCGUGCUUAACACAUGCAAGUCGCACGGAAAGGCCCUGCUUGCAGGGUACUCGAGUGGCGAACGGGUGAGUAACACGUGGGUGAUCUGCCCUGCACUUCGGGAUAAGCCUGGGAAACUGGGUCUAAUACCGGAUAGGAGCCAUUUUUAGUGUGAUGGUUGGAAAGUUUUUUCGGUGUAGGAUGAGCUCGCGGCCUAUCAGCUUGUUGGUGGGGUAAUGGCCUACCAAGGCGGCGACGGGUAUCCGGCCUGAGAGGGUGGACGGCCACAUUGGGACUGAGAUACGGCCCAGACGCCUACGGGAGGCAGCAGUGGGGAAUAUUGCACAAUGGGCGCAAGCCUGAUGCAGCGACGCCGCGUGGGGGAUGACGGCCUUCGGGUUGUAAACUCCUUUCGCUAGGGACGAAGCUUUUUGUGACGGUACCUAGAUAAGAAGCACCGGCUAACUACGUG